GACAGCAGCAGCCACGGGAACACGAAGGGGGCUAGCGUUGCUCGGAAUCACUGGGCGUAUAGGGUGCGUAGGCGGGUCUUUAAGUCAGAGGUGAAAGCCUGGAGCUCAACUCCAGAACUGCCUUUGAUACUGGAGAUCUCGAGUUCGGGAGAGGUGAGUGGAACUGCGAGUGUAGAGGUGAAAUUCGUAGAUAUUCGCAAGAACACCAGUGGCGAAGGCGGCUCACUGGCCCGAUACUGACGCUGAGGCACGAAAGCGUGGGGAGCAAACAGGAUUAGAUACCCCAGUAGUCCCUGUCUCUUAUAC
rnacentral:rRNA from 1 species